UGCCCCACAGGAAGGAGAGGCCUUCUGCAUUAGACCCCUUGUCCUUUCCAUGAAGGGAAGGUGAUCUUGCCUUAAACAAUCCUUUCUUUUCUUGUGCUAAUAACGCCUCCGCCCUAGACUUCUCCCAAUAAAAACUUUCCAUUUUAUGCAACUCUCAUGGGGCUCCCCUCUUCCUGCUGGGUGCCUUGCAGCUGAACUUUGUUAUUUAACAGGAUGCAUGGCCACCUUUCCUCAGUGGCUCAGUUUUGGCACGCGGCUCCGAUGGGACCGCCCCUGCUGCUUCGCGACCCCUGCGCACCCUCCUGGCUGGUGAUCUAUGGGCCCAACACUGAGCCCAGCUCCUGACUUUAUGCUCCAGACUCCUGGCUACUGAUACCAUGGUUUGAAGAAACCCAGGGCACUGAAGCCAAUGUGACCACAGUGAGCAGGAGCCUCUGCGGACGGGCCGUGGACGUGUGGCACAACUCGCAGGUUACACAUGCCUUUUGGGACAGGUAACCACACCUGGCUCGAGACCCUGGAGACAGUAAGCCAUGCUGUGAAACCAACUCUAGGACCCAUGGUCAGGUCCCCUCAGGGGUCAGCUCCUGCCUCUAGACUAGACUGUAACCUUCUGUAUAAAGUUCUGCCAGUUCUUUUCAUUUUAGGGAUCAUCAGUUUAAGAUGCCUAAUCUCCAGGAUGCUAAAACUGACCUUUGCCAUCACCUCUCAACAGAUAGAACCAGUACCAGUAAGAGUCCUCAAGUCAUUCUUAGACUCAAUUUUGCCUCCAAGGUUAUGACUACCUCUCAGUUAUUCAGGGAAGAAUGACAUCCAUUUUGAAAGACGGUAACACUAAUGGCCAAAAUUAGCAAGACAGGAAACAACAUGUGUUGGAGAGGAUGUGGAGAAAGGGGAACCCUCUUACACU